rnacentral:rRNA from 1 species
CCUACGGGGGGCAGCAGUAGGGAAUAUUGGACAAUGGGUGCGAGCCUGAUCCAGCCAUGCCGCGUGCAGGAAGAAGGCCUUCUGGGUUGUAAACUGCUUUUGCCGGGGGAUAAAAGACCCAUGCGUGGGGAAUUGAAGGUACCCGGUGAAUAAGCCACGGCUAACUACGUGCCAGCAGCCGCGGUAAUACGUAGGUGGCGAGCGUUGUCCGGAUUUAUUGGGUUUAAAGGGUGCGUAGGCGGCCCCGUAAGUCAGUGGUGAAAUACGGCAGCUCAACUGUCGAGGUGCCAUUGAUACUGCGGGGCUUGAGUACAGUCGAGGUAGGCGGAAUUGACGGUGUAGCGGUGAAAUGCUUAGAUAUCGUCAAGAACACCGAUAGCGAAGGCAGCUUGCUAGGCUGUAACUGACGCUGAGGCACGAAAGUGCGGGGAUCAAACAGGAUUAGAUACCCUGGUAGUCCGCACAGUAAACGAUGGUCACUCGGUGUUGGCGGUACACGGCCAGCGCCUUAGCGAAAGCGUUAAGUGACCCACCUGGGGAGUACGCCCGCAAGGGUGAAACUCAAAGGAAUUGACGG